rnacentral:rRNA from 1 species
AUUGAACGCUAGCGGGAUGCCUUACACAUGCAAGUCGAACGGCAGCACGGACUUCGGUCUGGUGGCGAGUGGCGAACGGGUGAGUAAUGUAUCGGAACGUGCCUAGUAGCGGGGGAUAACUACGCGAAAGCGUAGCUAAUACCGCAUACGCCCUACGGGGGAAAGCAGGGGAUCGCAAGACCUUGCACUAUUAGAGCGGCCGAUAUCGGAUUAGCUAGUUGGUGGGGUAACGGCUCACCAAGGCGACGAUCCGUAGCUGGUUUGAGAGGACGACCAGCCACACUGGGACUGAGACACGGCCCAGACUCCUACGGGAGGCAGCAGUGGGGAAUUUUGGACAAUGGGGGAAACCCUGAUCCAGCCAUCCCGCGUGUGCGAUGAAGGCCUUCGGGUUGUAAAGCACUUUUGGCAGGAAAGAAACGUCAUGGGCUAAUACCCCGUGAAACUGACGGUACCUGCAGAAUAAGCACCGGCUAACUACGUGCCAGCAGCCGCGGUAAUACGUAGGGUGCAAGCGUUAAUCGGAAUUACUGGGCGUAAAGCGUGCGCAGGCGGUUCGGAAAGAAAGAUGUGAAAUCCCAGAGCUUAACUUUGGAAC